GGUUGCUCGCCCGAUGCCUUCCAGGGCGCCGCUUCCUCUCAGAUUCCUCCAUUUCGCACUGGCACUCGCGAAAGAGAAGCAAACUAUAUCCGAGUAACGCGCGACGCAGGACACUCGGCGUUAACCGACGCGGAAAGAAGUAAUACGCGUCGCGCGAAAUGGCGGGAACGUUCCGGCGCGAAGGACUCGGAGGUACGCGAGGCUCCUCGACGCGUCUCGCGACCGAACGCGAGGCGCGUUCGACGAGGGGGCGACCUCGCGUCAACAUUUCUUUCGCCGCGCGUCACGCGCGGAAAGAACUGUCUCUACACGCGCGCGAAGAGACGCGAGUUGAAACUGGAGCUCGGUGUACCGGCGGCGCGCCCAAAGAUUCCGGCCGGGGAUUCUCGAGGUGGAUCGUCGAGACGCGCGAGUCUCGAAUAAUCCACGCCGCGAUUGCUCAACUCGUCAGUGCUGAACUCACCACAGUCGUGAAAAGCGUCGCGACGACCGGUCCGCUGCGUGUCCGCGAUGCUUCUCCGCAGGACUAACAUGGCGCGCCCGUCACCCGGCGUUUCUCCGCGCGAUACUACGCGAGUCAAGUCGGCGACGCGACCCGAGUCACCCGAGUGUCAACUUUGAUGUCGCACGCGCGACGUGUCUCGAGCAAACGCGCGCACAUAAAAUCCACACGCGGCUUUCCUCGACUCGAAUUACAUCGCAGGAAUAACGAGCGCGGACGGCGAUUCGACGAUCUGCCCUUUCUGCAACUCGAAAGUGCACGGCGCUCCGAGCAACGACGACGACGACGGUAACCGCGGAAUCGAGACGCUCGAUUGCGUGGCCGCGCGGCGCGGCUUAAUCGUACGGAGAACGAUCGCGCACGUCGCAUAGCGUACGUGUGUACGUGACCGCGGCUCGAACGAUACUGCGACGCACCGAACGGUUUCUCUGACCUUGCCGCGCGCAGCGGCCGCGGCGGCUCGAGACAAACAAGCGACGUCUGCGGCGGCUCGAGAAAAAACAAGCGACUGCUGCGGCGGCUCGAGGCAGACGAGCGGCGACCCGCGCCGAGGUCAGACGUGCGUCGCGCUGUAUCGCUCGAACUGCCGUACGUGCGGCACGGGACUGCGCGUGAUCGUGUGGAUUGGCACGUCGUCUUCGUUUCGCGGAGCAGUCGGAGCGUCAACGAAUCGUCGUGUCGUCGUCUACCGUUCGCGCGCGCUGUUCUCUCGAUGGAUUUUGAGCAAAGAAGACCCGCGAGUUCGUCGAUCGUUUUCGUCAAGAGAAUUUCAGUGUACGUUUAUUUCGGAUACAUCGCGCGCGCGAUAAAUUCACUCGACUAUCGAGAAGUGAUACUCCAGUGGCGUCGCCGACUUGACUCGCGUAGUAGCAGCACAGAGUAACGCCGGGUAGCGACGCCAUGUUGUGGUCUUGCGGCAGAAGCAUCGCGGAGUCUCGCGGACACGCAAGCGGACCGGCCCGCCGCGCCGACGGUCGUCGCGACGCUUUCUACGACUGCGGGUGAGUUUAACACCGACGAGUUGAGCAAUCGCGGCGCGGAUUAUUCGAGACUCGCGCGUCUCGGCGAUCCCGCGAGACGCGCGAGUCCCGCGACAAACGCCGGCCGGGAAUCUCGUCGCGGGAAGCCGGGAUCCUCGCUGCGCCGCGGGUACGUCGAGCUCCAGUUUCAACUCGCGUCUCUUCGCGCGUGUAGAGACAGUUUUUUCCGACGCGUGACGCGCGGCGAAAGAGAUGUUGGCGCGAGGUCGCGCCGUCGAACGCGCUCGCGCUCGGUUGCGAGACGCGUCGGGCCUCGCGUAUCUCCGCGUUCCCGCCAUUUCGCGCGACGCCAUCGCGGCGGCGCGCGUUUCUUUCUCUCGCGUCGGUUAACGCCGGGAGUGCGCCGCGUCGCGCGUUACUCGGAUACGAUUUGCUUCUUCUCCGCGAGUGCCGCGAAUUGUGCCGAGCGCGAAAUGGAGGAAUCUGAGAGGAAGCGGCGGCCCAGGUGGCAUCGGGCGACGCCGGAGCAACCCUCUGAUCGGCGCUUCUCUUCCGGGAAUUCGACGGGGCAGCUGUACGAGUCGACGCUACGGUAGAAAUCGGCGCAGCUGACAGACGCGGAUUAAGGGUCGAUACUAACGAAUGGCUUGGGGCUGAAGUUGUGUCCGGUG